ACGAACGCUGGCGGCAUGCCUCAUACAUGCAAGUUGAACGUUCCGCAAGGAAAGUAGCGUAAGGGUGAGUAAAAAGUAGGAAUCUGCCUUAGACUGGGGGAUAACCCGGGGAAACCUGGGCUAAUACCGCAUGAUGCUGAGAAGCUAAAGAUUUAUCGGUCUAAGAUGAGCCUACUUAUGAUUAGCUAGUUGGUAGGGUAAUGGCCUACCAAAGCAACGAUCAUUAGCUGGUCUGAGAGGACGAUCAGCCACAAUGGAACUGAGACACGGUCCAUACUUCUACGGAAGGCAGCAGUAGGGAAUUUUGCGCAAUGGGCGAAAGCCUGACGCAGCAAUGCCGCGUGUAGGAAGAAGCAUCUUGGUGUGUAAACUACUGUCGGUGGGGAAAAAGAAAAUGAUUGUACCCACAAAGGAAGCAUCGGCUAACUACGU
rnacentral:rRNA from 1 species